CAAAAACAAAAAAAACAACAUACACAGAAAGAAUUUAAAUGACAGUAAUGCAGGAAAUGAGAAAUCAAAAUGCUAUAAGGCAUAUAGAAAAUAAACAGCAAAAUGACAGCAGUUUUUUCUUAUUAGUAAUUACUUUAAAUGUAAAUGGACUAAAUAAUCCAAUCAAAAGAGACUGGCAAAAUGGAUGUAGAUAAAAACCAUGAUCCAACUAAAUGCUCUCCACAAGACACUUGCUUUAGACCCAAAGACACAAAUAGGUUGAAAGCGAAAGGAUAGAAAUGGAUAUUCCACGCAAAUAGUAACCUAAAGAGAAUAGAAAUGGCUACGUAAUAUCAGACAAAAUAGACUUUAAGUCAAAAAAGGUUGCAAGAGACAAAGAAGAUUUUAUAUAUUAAUAAAAUGUUCAAUACAGCAAGUAGAUAUAAUAAACAUUUAUGCAUCUAGUAAACUAUCAAAAUUUAUGAAGCAAAAACUAAUAGAAUUGAAUGGAGAAAUUGUUCUACAAUGAUAGUUGGAGACUUCAAUAUCCCACUCUCAACAUUAAAUAGAACAACCACACCGAAGAUAAGGAAAAUAGAACCACAGAAUAAACCAAUUGGAUCAAACAGACAUAUACAGAACACUCUACCCAACAAAGAAUUCCUCUACCAACAUGGCAAAAAUUUAAAAGUCUGAUAAUAACCAGGAUUGGUGAAAUUUGGGACCAACCAAAAUUCUCUUACAGAACUGGCGGUAGUGUAAAUUGUUACAACCAUUUUGGAACAUAUUUUGGCAUUACCUUGCAAAGCUGAAGAUUCAUGGAUCUCAUAACCCAGCAAUUCCACCCUUACGUAUGUGUACCCUGAAGAAUCUUACGUACAUAUUCAUAGAAGCAUCAUUUGUUAUAGUAAAAAACUGGGGAAAAGAAAUCCAUCUGAAAUAGAUUAACAAGCCUCCCCUAUAUAGUAACAAUAUGGAUGGAUCUCAAACAAUACUAUGUGAAAGAAGAAAGAAAGAAUACAAAUAGUACGAUUUUAGACAUAUGAAAUUUGAAAAUAGGCAAAAUUAAUUACAUAUUGAUAUUUUACAGAUGAUAACAUACAAAAUCAAAUACAUGAUUAUCAUGAAAAUCAUUUUAUUGUUUAUCUCUAGGGGCUGGGAGAGGAUUAUGAUAGGAAGAGACACACCAGGGUAAUCUUUUGGGCUGCUGGUUCUAUUCCUUGACCUUGGAUACAAUUGUAUAUUUAUGCAUAUCUUAAUAUAUAUCUAAAUUAUAUAUAUGAUGUGCUUUAUGUACCACAUAAUAUAUAUCACAAAAUUCUUAAAAGGGGGACUGUUUGCAAGCAUCUCUUAUCUUAAAUACUCUCCAUAAGGCAGUUACAUGUUAUGUUAGAAAACUAAAAUAAUCCUAGACCCUAGACCCUUAAAUAAAAUAAACUAUUUAAAUAUUUCUAGGAAGAAACAAUUAGGCUUUUUCCUCCCUCUUAAAAACGUAUGGAUGUGUCUGGGGCCCUGGAAGACUCUAAAUGUUCAUUUUGCCUUUUUUGUGAUUUUAAAAAUAUUCUCGAUUUUGCCCUUUUGAGAAAUAAUGAGCAAAAGGGGGAAUUUUUGAACACCACGUAAAUUUUAAAAGUGUACUUUAAACAGUAUACAUGACUACAAUUGGGAAUACUAUAUGCUGAGUAGUAAUCUGUGAUUUAAGAUCACAGUAAUGCAUUGGCCAUAGCUCUUACUUGCUUUAGAGCGUUGAUUGUGUGCAUCUUUUCCCAGGUUCAUACUGAGUAAUGUCGUAUCAUAUUGAUAUCUUGAAAUUGAAUAUGGUGGAAUAUUUACAGCAUGGAAAUUGGCAAAUGAUACAAGCUACAAAUGCACCCCCUUCCCUACCCCAGCCAUUUGUUAAACAUUUAUCAGCACACCACUGCUUAAGGACUAAGAGUUCUGAAUAGCCAUCACUGGAUCUUUACUCAUGAAGGAAAAUAAUCUGGUGAGGCUCUCCUGAACUAGCAAACACUUCGAAUAUGACGGACUACUGCGUCUGCCACAUCCUGCCAGACAGCUCUGACUGCAGUUGAUUGCCAUACUCCUUCACCUUAAUAAGAAAACUACUGAAAAGAGCAGAAAAUGGCCCAGCUCCUGCAUCUCUCAUGCAAAACAUCUGUCAGCACCUCUGGGUAUCUUUCCCACUCCUGCUCCUGUAAAUUUUGCUAGUCAUUCUAUAGAGUAGAUGAAUACCACCUGGCUGGUGGCAAGGACAAAUAGAAUGGUAUGGACUGAAGGCCCUCGGGCAGUCCCUCCAUAAAUAAAAACUAGGCUCAGUUAUUCAAA
rnacentral:lncRNA from 1 species